AGCGGUAAGGCCUUUCGGGGUACACGAGCGGCGAACGGGUGAGUAACACGUGGGUGAUCUGCCCUGCACUCUGGGAUAAGCUUGGGAAACUGGGUCUAAUACCGGAUAUGACCGCAUGCCGCAUGGUGUGUGGUGGAAAGAUUUAUCGGUGCAGGAUGGGCCCGCGGCCUAUCAGCUUGUUGGUGGGAUNNUGGCCUACCAAGGCGACGACGGGUAGCCGACCUGAGAGGGUGACCGGCCACACUGGGACUGAGACACGGCCCAGACUCCUACGGGAGGCAGCAGUGGGGAAUAUUGCACAAUGGGCGGAAGCCUGAUGCAGCGACGCCGCGUGAGGGAUGAAGGCCUUCGGGUUGUAAACCUCUUUCAGCAGGGACGAAGCGUGAGUGACGGUACCUGCAGAAGAAGCACCGGCUAACUACGUGCCAGCAGCCGCGGUAAUACGUAGGGUGCGAGCGUUGUCCGGAAUUACUGGGCGUAAAGAGUUCGUAGGCGGUUUGUCGCGUCGUUUGUGAAAACCCGGGGCUCAACUUCGGGCUUGCAGGCGAUACGGGCAGACUUGAGUGUUUCAGGGGAGACUGGAAUUCCUGGUGUAGCGGUGAAAUGCGCAGAUAUCAGGAGGAACACCGGUGGCGAAGGCGGGUCUCUGGGAAACAACUGACGCUGAGGAACGAAAGCGUGGGUAGCAAACAGGAUUAGAUACCCUGGUAGUCCACGCCGUAAACGGUGGGCGC
rnacentral:rRNA from 1 species